UACGGGGGGGGCAAGCGUUGUUCGGAAUUACUGGGCGUAAAGGGCUUGUAGGUGGCCAACUAAGUCAGACGUGAAAUCCCUCGGCUUAACCGGGGAACUGCGUCUGAUACUGGAUGGCUGGAGUGUGGGAGAGGGAUGCGGAAUUCCAGGUGUAGCGGUGAAAUGCGUAGAUAUCUGGAGGAACACCGGUGGCGAAGGCGGCAUCCUGGACCAUAACUGACACUGAAAAGCGAAAGCCAGGGGAGCAAACGGG
rnacentral:rRNA from 1 species